rnacentral:rRNA from 1 species
UACGUAGGGGGCAAGCGUUGUCCGGAUUUAUUGGGCGUAAAGCGCACGCAGGCGGUCUUUCGCGUUUUGAGUGACAGGUGGGGGCUUAACUCCCACAGGCCUCAGAAGACGGGAAGACUUGAGGGCUUCAGAGGGACGCGGAAUUCCAGGUGGAGCGUGAAAUGCGUAGAGAUCUGGAAGAACACCAAAGGCGAAGGCAGCCGUGCCUGGGAAGCAUC